rnacentral:rRNA from 1 species
AUUCCAGCUCCAAUAGCGUAUAUUAAAGUUGUUGCGGUAAAAAGCUCGUAGUUGGAUUUCUGUCGAGAACAGCCGGUCACGAUUUUGUCGUUGUAUCUGGUUUGGUCUUGGCAUCCUCUUGGGGAACAUUUCUGCGCUUCACUGCGUGGAGUGGUAUUCAAGACUUUUACUUUGAGGAAAUUAGAGUGUUCACGGCAGGCAAUCGCCCUGAAUAUAUUAGCAUGGAAUAAUGAUAUAGGACCUUGGUUCUAUUUUGUUGGUUUCUAGAACUAAGGUAAUGAUUAAUAGGGACAAUUGGGGGCAUUCGUAUUAACGCGUCAGAGGUGGAAUUCUUAGAUUGCGUUACGACGAACUACUGCGAAAGCAUUUGCCAAGGAUGUUUUCAUCG